AGGGAGAGGGAGAGAGAGAGAGAGACAUACAGUUCUAGUGUCACAAAGAGCGAGAGGGGCUGAGUUGUAAAGUAACAAAUUACUCAACUAUGCAAGUCACUGUAAUUGAGUCGUGUAUCCUAAUUAUGUUUCAUUUAAUAAUUGCCAGAGAGUUCGAGAGGGAAGACAGAAAGGGUGUGUGGAUGUUUGAUAGAAAAUAAAGAAAAGACAUUGUGUGAUCAGUGUGGGAAGGCCAAGACAUGGAAGUGUUUGAAAAGAGAGGCAAUCGUUAAGGUGUGGAGAAAGGGACGCAAGAUUGCAUAAUGAUUUAUCGCCGCCCCUACAAAACCGUGUCUUGUUGUGGAACCGCUCAGACAGAGAGACACCCAGACAGACAGACAGAUUUCCCACGUGCAGAGGCGCUCCAUGCGGAACGUGAAUGCCCCGCCCCUUGUAGGACAUCAAUGGAGAUCCUUGUUUGAACAGCCAAUGGACUCACACUUCCAUGUUGUCAUUGCCAAUCACAAGGCAGGGAGCCCCUCUCGGGGGUGUUAACUUCUUGGGUGUUAAAAAUAAAUGCUUACAAAUACAGCCGCCUAUCAAGUAGCCCUACAUCUAGUAGUAGGCUUCUGGUUAUGUGGGACUGUGUGUGAACGCAUGCUGCUUCUGAAGACUAUAUGUGUACCACUACACCAUGUGACUAAGAACAACAUGAAAGCAGUUGGCACACGCAUACAAACACGCACGGACACACACGCACCAAACGGACACACACACACACACACACACACACACACACACACACACACACACACACACACACACACACACACACACACACACGAACACACACGUUGUGUUUCGAAGUGACAGUGAUGAGUCGUGGGCCAAAUGAAGCGUGAACCUUACAUGAAAAACAAAACCAGACGCGAUCAAUUUAAUUCACCUGUCACGGAUCCAGUCUAACCUGCAGUGCGUGUACCUUUCAAGUGACAUUUAAGUGCCGAUGUCAGGCAUCAUGAAUGGAUUCCACGAUCAAAACGAGUAUGGCAUAGUCAAUACGAGGCACGUUGGGGGAAGCCUCACACCGAGCAGCUACAUCCCGUGGUGUUGCUGAUCAACACUGCAUGUCCUUGGUGGAGAGACCCUCUGCGCCACGACAUCCAAAAGGCGCACAACAACACAACAACCGUGGCGUUACGCAGCCGGACUAACAACUACAAUGUAGGGUUGUGGAUCGUAUUAACAGUGCACCCCUUAAACAGAUCCCAAUCAGUCAAAGACAGUGCCUGCGCUGGGUAAAAAAAUGACAGUACAUGACUACAUACAUUAUCUAUUGAUGCCGCUGUGAGCUCCGAGAUGGUCUGCCUGCUGCCAUCCAAAUAUUGUCCAAAUGACGGAUAUCUCCUCUCCUUCAAGGACUUUUCAUUAGGUCCCUGGGAAAUAUUGUGUAGCACCGCGGCGGCACAAUGCUGACAUUUGAUAUUGCCUUUACUCGAG
ensembl:lncRNA